ACAAAAAAUCACUAAAUUCCAUUUGACCACUCAAUCAUGGGACUACACUGGGCUACAACCUAGGUAGCUUUUUGAAGAAAUUUUUUAAAACCUAUUGGCUCAUGUAAGGUUUUUGAAGAAAAAUAAAAUUAAACUUAUAUAGCCCAUUAACUUGCAGUUUCCACUUGUGGUUGGGGACCUCGUUUUGUGGUCUUCUUGGCAGUUUCCCCACUAUUUAUAUGAAGAUAUCUUUUUAGACACCAAAAAAAAAAAAAAAAAAAAAGGUAAAUAAACUCAAUAAUAGGGAAAUAUUAUUUUUCUUAAGUCUGUUUUGUGGUCUACUUAGCGGUUUUCUCCAUUUCUUUUGUGUUAACCUUUUUUUUCAUUUAAUUUGUAUUAGUUAUAUGCUAAAUAUAUUGGAAAUUAGCUCAGAGGGCUAUGAACUAGCGUGGGUUUACAUAAUUUAAUGUGUACUUUUAUUUCUAGAAAAUAUAUAGAAAUUGUAAAUUAAA
rnacentral:lncRNA from 1 species